rnacentral:tRNA from 1 species
GGAGAGGUGGCAGAGUGGUCGAAUGCGGCGGUCUCGAAAACCGUUAACGGGUGAACGCCCGUUCGAGGGUUCGAAUCCCUCCCUCUCCG